ACGAACGCUGGCGGCAUGCCUAACACAUGCAAGUCGAACGAGACCUUCGGGUCUAGUGGCGCACGGGUGCGUAACGCGUGGGAACCUGCCCUUAGGUUCGGAAUAACUCCCCGAAAGGGGUGCUAACACCGGAUAAUGUCUUCGGACCAAAGAUUUAUCGCCUUUGGAUGGGCCCGCGUUGGAUUAGCUAGUUGGUAGGGUAAAAGCCUACCAAGGCGACGAUCCAUAGCUGGUCUGAGAGGAUGAUCAGCCACACUGGGACUGAGACACGGCCCAGACUCCUACGGGAGGCAGCAGUGGGGAAUAUUGGACAAUGGGCGAAAGCCUGAUCCAGCAAUGCCGCGUGAGUGAUGAAGGCCUUAGGGUUGUAAAGCUCUUUUACCCGGGAUGAUAAUGACAGUACCGGGAGAAUAAGCUCCGGCUAACUCCGUG
rnacentral:rRNA from 1 species